rnacentral:misc_RNA from 1 species
ACAUAUGUGCUCGCCUUCACACUCUUCAUCCACUCAACCCCUGUGCACUUUAUCAGAGUUAGUAAUAGUAUUGUGGUGGCGGCCAUUUGUUGUUAUUCAUUGUUAGAAGCGGGGGCAACCCUGUCUGGCAAUAGUAAUGAUAAUAAUCUUGGUUCUACUACUAUUACUAUGAACACUUUGAAUUUUAUUUAUACAAACACUUUGCUUGUUCUUGUGAAUGUGUAAUGCUCCUUGUGAGCGAAAUACAAAUAUACAACUUUCAACAACGGAUCUCUUGGCUCUCGCAUCGAUGAAGAACGCAGCGAAAUGCGAUAAGUAAUGUGAAUUGCAGAAUUCAGUGAAUCAUCGAAUCUUUGAACGCACCUUGCGCCCCUUGGUAUUCCGAGGGGCAUGCCUGUUUGAGUGUCAUGUAAUUCUCAAUCCUCUUCUUCUUAACUGAAGAAAAAGAGGCUUGGACUUGGAGGUAUACACAAGCUGGUACUGUUUGGUAUCGGCUCCUCUCAAAUACAUUAGCUGGACUGUAGUUCGCAUUGUUUGGUGUAAUAGUUCUAUCUUAUUUCACUACAGUGCUUACUUAGACGGGUCUGCUUCCAAUAGUCCGCCUAUGUGU